rnacentral:lncRNA from 1 species
AGAAAUAUUCAUCUCUACUAGCUUAUCCGUUUCGACAACUCUUAAUGGCGAGAAUGCAAUACACCGACCAACAAUUAUCACCAUUGUUACCAUUUGUGUAUAUCAAAGUGCUCAAGCCAAUCAACGAAUGUAGAGUAAAGUUUUACGUGACGAAGACACAAAGUAAAUGAAGGGUAAUAAAAUAUUUGAUGUAACAGGAUGGAAGAUGCUAGAAUCGUACGUUGAAGAUUCUUCUUUAUAACGUACGUUCAUUUUUGUUCGUCGAUUUUGGAACGAAAACUUACUGGUAAUCAAUGUUAUGUUUUCUUCCUAGUUCAGAUCUCUGUUUUUCAUCUAGAUGGGCACACUCCUUGAAUAACCUGCACAGAAUUAAUGAUCAUCUAUAGCCCAAUGCGAAAGGCGGAAGAUUUUCGGACAAAGGUUCCUGGUAUCAACUACACAGCUGAUAGAGAGUGAACAAGAGAAAUGUAUGGAUAUAUAUAUAUAUGGUAUUUUGGUAUAUAUAUGUAAAAUUGUUAAGACAUAUUGUUAAAAAUAAGUUAAUAAAAUUUCAUUUCUAAUAAAAAUUUACAGGUCAUGUCAUUUCUCGA